AUUGAACGCUGGCGGCAGGCUUAACACAUGCAAGUCGAGCGAGCGGCGGACGGGUGAGUAAUUUCUGGGAACCUGCCUGAUGGAGGGGGAUAACUACUGGAAAAGGUAGCUAAUACCGCAUACCAUCAUAUGUGCCCAGAUGGGAUUAGCGAGUAGGUGGGGUAACGGCUCACCUAGGCGACGAUCCCUAGCUGGUCUGAGAGGAUGAGCAGCCACACUGGAACUGAGACACGGUCCAGACUCCUACGGGAGGCAGCAGUAGGGAAUAUUGCACAAUGGGCGAAAGCCUGAUGCAGCCAUGCCGCGUGUGUGAAGAAGGCUUUCGGGUUGUAAAGCACUGUCAGCGGGGAGGCGUUACUCGCAGAAGAAGCACCGGCUAACUCCGUGCCAGCAGCCGCGGUAAUUC
rnacentral:rRNA from 1 species